rnacentral:rRNA from 1 species
ACUCAAAUGAAUAGACGGGGACUUGCACAAGCAGUGGAUUAUGUGGUUUAAUUCGAUGGUAAACGAAGAACCUUACCAGGGUUAGAAAUCCUAGUGAAAGCCCGAGGAAACUCGGGGCCUCGCAAGACUCUAGGACAGGUGAUGCAUGGCCGUCGUCAGUUCGUGGUUUGAAUUGUACCCUUAAGUGGGCUAACGAACGCAACCCUCGUUGUGUGUUACAAGUGUCACACGAGACCGCCCCCGCCUUAGGCUUUGUCCUUAUAUUGUUGAAGGACGAAAGUUAAGGCGGGGGAGGAAGGAGAGGAUGACGCCAGGUCAGCAUGUCCCUCUGAUACCCUGGGCUACACACAUAAUACAAUGGUCAUUACAACGCGUUGCGACGAGGCGACUCUGAGCUAAUCGUUUAAAAAUGGCCUCAGUUCGGAUUGGAGGCUGCAACUCGCCUCCAUGAAGUUGGAAUUGCUAGUAAUCGCAGGUCAGCUAAACUGCGGUGAAUACGUUCUCAAGUCUUGUACACACCGCCCGU